GGUGGUGUGUCCGAGCGGCCUAAGGAGCACGCCUCGAAAGCGUGUGUGGGGGUGACUCCACCGGGGGUUCGAAUCCCCCCGCCACCGCCA
rnacentral:tRNA from 1 species